rnacentral:rRNA from 1 species
UGGGGAAUCUUCCGCAAUGGACGAAGGUCUGACGGAGCAACGCCGCGUGAGUGAUGACGGCCUUCGGGUUGUAAAGCUCUGUUAAUCGGGACGAAUGGCUACCAUGCGAAUAGUUUGGGAGUUUGACGGUACCGGAAUAGAAAGCCACGGCUAACUACGUGCCAGCAGCCGCGGUAAUACGUAGGUGGCAAGCGUUGUCCGGAAUUAUUGGGCGUAAAGCGCGCGCAGGCGGAUCUGCCAGUCUGUCUUAAAAGUUCGGGGCUCAACCCCGUGAUGGGAUGGAAACUACAGAUCUAGAGUAUCGGAGGGGAAAGUGGAAUUCCUAGUGUAGCGGUGAAAUGCGUAGAUAUUAGGAGGAACACCAGUGGCGAAGGCGACUUUCUGGACGAUCACUGACGCUGAGGCGCGAAAGCCAGGGGAGCGAACGGGAUUAGAUACCCCGGUAGUCCUGGCCGUAAACGAUGGGUACUAGGUGUAGGAGGUAUCGACCCCUUCUGUGCCGUAGUUAACGCAUUAAGCACUCCGCCUGGGGAGUACGACCGCAAGGUU